rnacentral:rRNA from 1 species
UACGGGGGGGGCCAGCGUUGUUCGGAAUUACUGGGCGUAAAGGGCUCGUAGGCGGCCAACUAAGUCAGACGUGAAAUCCCUCGGCUUAACCGGGGAACUGCGUCUGAUACUGGAUGGCUUGAGGUUGGGAGAGGGAUGCGGAAUUCCAGGUGUAGCGGUGAAAUGCGUAGAUAUCUGGAGGAACACCGGUGGCGAAGGCGGCAUCCUGGACCAAUUCUGACGCUGAGGAGCGAAAGCCAGGGGAGCAAACGGG